GGUUCCAUGGUGUAGCGGUUAGCACUCAGGACUCUGAAUCCUGCGACCCGAGUUCGAUUCUCGGUGGGACCU
rfam:Spizellomyces punctatus DAOM BR117 chromosome Tnknown supercont1.4, whole genome shotgun sequence.